rnacentral:rRNA from 1 species
UCGAGGGGUAUAGUUCUUCGGAACUAGAGACCGGCGCACGGGUGCGUAACGCGUAUGCAAUCUACCUUUUACAGAGGGAUAGCCCAGAGAAAUUUGGAUUAAUACCUCAUAGUAUAUAUCCACCGCAUGGUUGGUCUAUUAAAGUCACAACGGUAAAAGAUGAGCAUGCGUCCCAUUAGCUAGUUGGUAAGGUAACGGCUUACCAAGGCUACGAUGGGUAGGGGUCCUGAGAGGGAGAUCCCCCACACUGGUACUGAGACACGGACCAGACUCCUACGGGAGGCAGCAGUGAGGAAUAUUGGACAAUGGGCGCAAGCCUGAUCCAGCCAUGCCGCGUGCAGGAUGACGGUCCUAUGGAUUGUAAACUGCUUUUGCACAAGAAGAAACAACUCUACGUGUAGAGUCUUGACGGUACUGUGAGAAUAAGGAUCGGCUAACUCCGUGCCAGCAGCCGCGGUAAUACGGAGGAUCCAAGCGUUAUCCGGAAUCAUUGGGUUUAAAGGGUCCGUAGGCGGUUUAAUAAGUCAGUGGUGAAAGCCCAUCGCUCAACGGUGGAACGGCCAUUGAUACUGCUAGACUUGAAUUAUUAGGAAGUAACCAGAAUAUGUAGUGUAGCGGUGAAAUGCUUAGAGAUUACAUGGAAUACCAAUUGCGAAGGCAGGUUACUACUAAUGGAUUGACGCUGAUGGACGAAAGCGUGGGUAGCGAACAGGAUUAGAUACCCUGGUAGUCCACGCUGUAAACGAUGGAUACUGGCUGUUGGGAGCAAUCUCAGUGGCUAAGCGAAAGUGAUAAGUAUCCCACCUGGGGAGUACGUUCGCAAGAAUGAAACU